rnacentral:piRNA from 1 species
UAUUUGCACAAAUAUUUUUACCCCAU